rnacentral:rRNA from 1 species
AGUCAUAUGCUUGUCUCAAAGAUUAAGCCAUGCAUGUCUCAGUACAAGCCAAAUUAAGGUGAAACCGCGAAAGGCUCAUUAAAUCAGUUAUGGUUCCUUAGAUCGUACCCACAUUUACUUGGAUAACUGUGGUAAUUCUAGAGCUAAUACAUGCAAAUAGAGCUCCGACCGGAGACGGAAGGAGCGCUUUUAUUAGAUCAAAACCAAACGGCGGCGGGUUCGCUCGUCGUCGUACAACUUGGUGAAUCUGAAUAACUUUCUGCUGAUCGCACGGUCUCGCACCGGCGACGCAUCUUUCAAAUGUCUGCCUUAUCAACUGUCGAUGGUAGGUUCUGCGCCUACCAUGGUUGUAACGGGUAACGGGGAAUCAGGGUUCGAUUCCGGAGAGGGAGCCUGAGAAACGGCUACCACAUCCAAGGAAGGCAGCAGGCGCGCAAAUUACCCACUCCCGGCACGGGGAGGUAGUGACGAAAAAUAACGAUACGGGACUCAUCCGAGGCCCCGUAAUCGGAAUGAGUACACUCUAAAUCCUUUAACGAGGAUCAAUUGGAGGGCAAGUCUGGUGCCAGCAGCCGCGGUAAUUCCAGCUCCAAUAGCGUAU